rnacentral:piRNA from 1 species
UGAGAAUGAAGUGCUCAACACUGUAUC